rnacentral:rRNA from 1 species
AUUGAACGCUGGCGGCAUGCCUUACACAUGCAAGUCGAACGGCAGCACGGGGCAACCUGGUGGCGAGUGGCGAACGGGUGAGUGAUGCAUCGGAACGUACCUUUCAGUGGGGGAUAACGUAGCGAAAGUUACGCUAAUACCGCAUAUUCUGUGAGCAGGAAAGCAGGGGAUCGCAAGACCUUGCGCUGAUUGAGCGGCCGAUGUCAGAUUAGCUAGUUGGUGAGGUAAAGGCUCACCAAGGCGACGAUCUGUAGCGGGUCUGAGAGGAUGAUCCGCCACACUGGAACUGAGACACGGUCCAGACGCCUACGGGGGGCAGCAGUGGGGAAUUUUUGACAAUGGGGGCAACCCUGAUCCAGCCAUGCCGCGUGAGUGAAGAAGGCCUUCGGGUUGUAAAGCUCUUUCGGCCGGGAAGAAAUCGCACGGGCUAAUACCCUGUGUGGAUGACGGUACCGGAAUAAGAAGCACCGGUUAACUACGUGCCAGCAGCCGCCGUAAUAC